GACGAACGCUGGCGGCGUGCCUAACACAUGCAAGUCGAACGAUGACGACCGAGCUUGCUCGGUCUGAUUAGUGGCGAACGGGUGAGUAACACGUGAGCAACCUGCCCUUCACUCUGGGAUAACCUCGGGAAAUCGGGGCUAAUACCGGAUAUGAGCUCCUGUCGCAUGGCGGGUGUUGGAAAGUUUUUCGGUGAAGGAUGGGCUCGCGGCCUAUCAGUUUGUUGGUGAGGUAGUGGCUCACCAAGGCGAUGACGGGUAGCCGGCCUGAGAGGGCGACCGGCCACACUGGGACUGAGACACGGCCCAGACUCCUACGGGAGGCAGCAGUGGGGAAUAUUGCACAAUGGGCGAAAGCCUGAUGCAGCGACGCCGCGUGAGGGAUGACGGCCUUCGGGUUGUAAACCUCUUUCAGCAGGGAAGAAGCGAAAGUGACGGUACCUGCAGAAGAAGCGCCGGCUAACUACGUG
rnacentral:rRNA from 1 species